UCCGAACAACAUAUAUCAUAGGUAACUUAAAAAAGGCACCAAAAACUAAAAGGCGCUGAAAUACUCAUUAAAUUACACACAUGUAGUGUAAUAAUAUAACCUCAAAACAACCGGGGGCGAAACCACAUUUAAGUUAGGGUAGUCUUGAUCACCUUUAAACGAAAAAUUACACUGCAUAUAUAAGUAAAAUAUUAAUUUUUAAACAUAAUAUAUAUUGAACACCCUGUGUCGAAUUUUUUUUAUUUAUUUCAAGUUUGAACACCUUUCAGAAAAUUUCUGGCUUCGCCACUGAAAACAACCACAUAUAACAACAACAACCCAGUAAAAUUUCACCACUGGGGUCUAGGGAGGAUAGAAUGUACGCAGACCUUGCCCCUACCCCGAAGGGGAAAGAGGCUAUUUUCGGGAGACCCUCGGCUCAGAGACAAUAGAUCUGUGACAACAAAACCCGAAAAAUAAUAUCAGCAACGUGAGAGACAACAAAUAAAUGGAAAAGCGGUAACACAAAUAUUAUGCAAAAGUGUGAAACACAACAUAAAUCGCUAGCAGGGCUAGACAAAAAACUAUCAUACUCGUCGGUACAAAGAGGGAAACCGGGACAAAGGGGAAAACCGCUCAACUAUCCUUAACCUACAACCCUAAUGUUCGAUCUCCACAUCUUCCUAUCAAGAGCCAUGUCCUCAAAAAUCUGGAGCCGCGCCAUGUCCUGUCUGAUCACCUCAACCCAAUACUUCUUAAGCCGCCCUCUACUUCUUCUCGUACGUGCCAAAACCAACCGCUCACGUCUCCAAACCGGAGCAUUCAGGCAAUUAUUAAUCUCGACGAAUUACGCAAAUUAAAGCAGCAGAGGACAACCUAAAGCAAUGGACCUUUCUUUCUUAUAGAAUCAUCUCCUAUUUAAUUUAAAACUAAGAAAGGUUACUAUCAUAAAGAGCUUAUCCAACAUAUACCUAUCUUCACUUUAACAUAUAACAAAGAAUGCCACAUGAGACCAAGCCAAACCCCUUCAAAGGAUCCAUUUAAUUUCUUCACUAAAAGCUGCAUUCAAGUUCAAUUAUAAUCAGACUAACCCUUAGAAAUACACGAGUUUCUGGUGGUGAACUUGUAGAGGCAGAGUUCCAGCAUUUCCCAUGUUUUUGAAGCAAUAAAAGAUAUAAUUUUGCUAAAAUUCUCAAAAACUUGAGCUUUGAUUUGGCCCCUUCUUGGUGGAAGUGUAGCCCUCUGAUUUUUCCGGUUCUUUGUAGAAAUAGUCAUGAUUAUAUUAUUAUAAUGUGAUCGUCAAAAUUGUUUCAGAAUAGAAGAAGAUUUUAUGUUGUAUAUACUGAUAGUGUAAAAUUUCUUCACACUAUAUAUUGAGAGAAAAAGAAAGAGGAAAAGGAAGGAAGAAAGGAAGGUGAGUGGGUGGGUGCGUGGGUGCUAAUGAGAAGGUCCCCCAAAUGAAGUGAGGUGGUGUUUU
rnacentral:lncRNA from 1 species